ACAAUGGGAUCGGGAGAGAUCGCUUAGGCGGCGCCGAAGGGGAACGCAGAAGCUCUCAGGCAAAAGGACCGAUUCCGGACG
rfam:Clostridiales bacterium 59_14 Ley3_66761_scaffold_1780, whole genome shotgun sequence.